rnacentral:rRNA from 1 species
GCACCACAAGGGGUGAAGCCUGCGGUUCAAUUGGAGUCAACGCCAGAAAUCUUACCCGGAGAGACAGCAGAAUGAAGGUCAAGCUGAAGACUUUACCAGACAAGCUGAGAGGUGGUGCAUGGCCGUCGCCAGCUCGUGCCGUGAGAUGUCCUGUUAAGUCAGGUAACGAGCGAGAUCCCUGCCCUCUAGUUGCCACCAUUACUCUCAGGAGUAGUGGGGCGAAUUAGCGGGACCGCCGUAGUUAAUACGGAGGAAGGAAGGGGCCACGGCAGGUCAGUAUGCCCCGAAACUCUGGGGCCACACGCGGGCUGCAAUGGUAACGACAAUGUGUUCCAAAUCCGAAAGGAGGCGGUAAUCCUCAAACGUUACCACAGUUAUGACUGAGGGCUGCAACUCGCCCUCACGAAUAUGGAAUCCCUAGUAACUGCGUGUCAUUACCGCGCGGUGAAUACGUCCCUGCUCCUUGCACACACCGCCCGUCGUUUCAUUGAAGUUUGCUUUUAGCGAGGUGACGUCUAAUUGGCGUUAUCGAACUUGAGGUAAGUGACAAGGGAA